rnacentral:misc_RNA from 1 species
UUUUUUUUCAAGGUUCGUCAUUUAUUCAUUGAUAGUUCUUAUGAAUUUAAUUUUAGAUUUACUUCCCUUGGCUAAUGGAAGUUAUGAUAAAAAAAGGAAACAAAGGAAAAAAAGACUUUCCUGAUGUGCGUUUGUGGGGGUAUAUGUACAAAUAAGUUGUUAAAUUUGAGACUUUUUGACUUUCGACACAUUUGUAAUCAUUAUUGUCAAGAUGUUUCAAACUUUAUUUGUACAGAUAGGAGAACAUGUAGAAAAUCUUGAGCCUCUCUAAAGAAUUUGGUUGAAAUGUUGAAGUGAUAUACUUGUAGCUUGUUGAUAUGAAAAUGUAAUUUUGGGUUCUGUUUUUUAUACACUGUGAUUCAAUGAUUUAGAUGAAAUACAUGUAUUUUCGAGGAAGGACAAAUAGAGUGGUAUAUUUAUAGCUUAAGUUUAAAAGUUCAGUGAGCUUUUAUCCAAGUCAGCCAGAAAUAUUGAAAUGGCUUAUUUGGAGGGAGGUCAUGCAUGUUGAUUUAACACAUUGUCAUUGUGGAACUGAUAUUAUUUAUUAACAUAUAUAUAUAUACAUAUUAAUAUUCAUGUGCAUCAGGAAUGUACACAGGUGUUAGGCAAUAUUAUUAUGUUAUACAGAAUGAUGUAAAUGUAUUUAUGAAAUAACAAUUUUCUCCAGAAAGGCGAUUUUAUGGAAAACGAAUCCAGUUACAAUUUUCUUUUAUAUUCAGAUCUUUACUGUACAUGCAAAACUGCACAAAAAAUGCUAAAUCUGAUUUUGAUGAUUGUUGUACUUGGGGUUUCAGCAAUGAGCUGACCGUUUAGCAACACCUGUAGUCUGACAUAGUGACUGCUCAGUGUAUAUUACUUAGCUGUAGCUUGCUUGGCUAUAAGUGUACUAUUUAUACACACCAAUCAGCAUUAAGAUGUAAAUCAAGGUCAAAGGUCACUGUAUAAAAUUGAGAGCUUCCGUUUUAUUUUAUCCAUGAAUGGUCACAUUUAUGAUUUUUUAAAAAAUCUGUAUUUUAAAAAGAAAGAAAAUUAUUAUUUUUGUGUAAAAUUUCUGUGAAUUUGUGUUUUUGAAAGGCUAGAUUUAAGCUUGCAAUUAGAAAUCUCACGAUUAUUGUUUCAGUUGUCGAUUUUCAAAGUCUGUUCAUUUCGUUCCUGAUUGUUUCCCCUUUUAUUCUUCAGUACCUCUAUUUUGUAUUAUCAUCGACAGUUCUUGCUUUGUGUCAAUGUGAUUUGAAUACACUCACGUAACAAAAGAAAACCUUUAUAAUAAAAUGUAUACUCUG